UCUUCAAUGCGAACGAAGCGGCGAAAACAGCGGAAGGGGAACGGAAGGAGAGGCCCUACCCCUUCACCGAGCUAGGAGAAAAGUGUGGAAGAAGUCACGUGGCAUUUUUUUCAUUUUUUUUCGCUGUAGCAGCCAUGUUGUCGUGCCACAAUGGCGGCUUUGUUAUGGUUGUAGGCGCUUACACGUGUUGCUCCGUAGGUCUCGUACCGUGGCGAAGGCGUCGUGUGGGCAGGUUUGCGCUAGUCUGCGUGUUUUGUUGCGCUGUGUUAUCUGGACCCUGCUCACCCGGAUGUUGCUGUGGCCAGGUGGUACUGGAGGAACUAAAGCGUGUGAAAUGGACGCGCAUGCAACGCUGUACGCAAUGUACCGCGCCACGGAUAUGGCCACGGACGAAGGAAUAUCUGCGGGAAAUUUUGCCCUCUUCGGCGGAAUCAUGCUACCGCACGAAC
rnacentral:lncRNA from 1 species